UACGAAGGGGGCUAGCGUUGUUCGGAAUCACUGGGCGUAAAGGGCGCGUAGGCGGCUGUUCAAGUCGGGGGGUGAAAGCCUGUGGCUCAACCACAGAAUGGCCUUCGAUACUGGACGGCUCGAGACCGGAAGAGGUCAGUGGAACUGCGAGUGUAGAGGUGAAAUUCGUAGAUAUCGGGAAGGAACACCCGUGGCGAAGGCGGUUCUCUGGGACGGUACUGACGCUGAGACGCGAAAGCGUGGGGAGCGAACAGG
rnacentral:rRNA from 1 species